rnacentral:tRNA from 1 species
GCCCAGAAAGUUAGUCUAACCUAAGACAGUUGAUUUCGGCUCAACAGAUCACAACUCCUGUGACUUUCUC